rnacentral:rRNA from 1 species
AUAUUCAGAUAGCCAUGCAUGUCUAAGUAUAAAAGCUAUACAAUGAAACUGCGAAAGGCUCAUUAAAACAGUUAUAGUUUAUUUGGUAAUACACUUACAUGGAUAACCGUGGUAAUUCUAGAGCUAAUACAUGCUGUUAAGCCUGACUUCUUGAAGGGCUGUAUUUAUUAGAUAACAGACCAAUAUUCCUCGUGUCUAUUGAGGUGACUCAUAGUAACUGAUCGGAUCGCACGGGCUUGCCCGCGACAAACCAUUCAAGUUUCUGCCCCAUCAGCUUUCGAUGGUAGUGUAUUGGACUACCAUGGCUUUUACGGGUAACGGAGGAUUAGGGUUCGAUUCCGGAGAGGGAGCCUGAGAAACGGCUACCACAUCUAAGGAAGGCAGCAGGCGCGUAAAUUACCCAAUCCUGACUCAGGGAGGUAGUGACAAGAAAUAACGGGCCGGGUUCUAAAUCCGGGACUGAAAUGAGAUGAAUUUACACCCCUUAUUGAGGAUCAAUU